rnacentral:rRNA from 1 species
AUUGAACGCUGGCGGCAUGCCUUACACAUGCAAGUCGAACGGUAACAGGUUAAGCUGACGAGUGGCGAACGGGUGAGUAAUGUAUCGGAACGUGCCCAGUCGUGGGGGAUAACUGCUCGAAAGAGCAGCUAAUACCGCAUACGACCUGAGGGUGAAAGCGGGGGAUCGCAAGACCUCGCGCGAUUGGAGCGGCCGAUAUCAGAUUAGGUAGUUGGUGAGGUAAAGGCUCACCAAGCCGACGAUCUGUAGCUGGUCUGAGAGGACGACCAGCCACACUGGGACUGAGACACGGCCCAGACCCCUACGGGAGGCAGCAGUGGGGAAUUUUGGACAAUGGGCGCAAGCCGGAUCCAGCCAUGCCGCGUGCGGGAAGAAGGCCUUCGGGUUGUAAACCGCUUUUGUCAGGGAAGAAAAGGUUCUGGCUAAUACCUGGGACUCAUGACGGUACCUGAAGAAUAAGCACCGGCUAACUACG